GGGACUAUAGUUAAUAAUAACAUUUGAGUUGCAUUCAAAAAGUACUAUAUAAUAGUUAGCCUCA
rnacentral:tRNA from 1 species